rnacentral:tRNA from 1 species
UUUUUUAUAGUUUAAUUAAAACAAAAUACUUUCAUUAUUUAAAUGGAAUUUUUUCCUAGGUAAU